UACAUGGGGUGCAAACGUUGCUCGGAAUUAUUGGGCGUAAAGCGCGCGUAGGCGGUUACUUAAGUCGGAUGUGAAAGCCCUCGGCUUAACUGAGGAAGUGCACCCGAAACUGAGUAGCUAGAGUACGAAAGAGGGUCGCGGAAUUCCCGGUGUAGCGGUGAAAUGCGUAGAUAUCUGGAGGAACACCGGUGGCGAAGGCGGCAGCCUGGACCGGUAUUGACGCUGAGGCGCGAAAGCCAGGGGAGCAAACGGG
rnacentral:rRNA from 1 species